UACGUAGGGUGCAAGCGUUAAUCGGAAUUACUGGGCGUAAAGCGCACGUAGGCGGCUUUGUAAGUUAGAGGUGAAAGCCUGGAGCUCAACUCCAGAACUGCCUUUAAGACUGCAUCGCUUGAAUCCAGGAGAGGUGAGUGGAAUUCCGAGUGUAGAGGUGAAAUUCGUAGAUAUUCGGAAGAACACCAGUGGCGAAGGCGGCUCACUGGACUGGUAUUGACGCUGAGGUGCGAAAGCGUGGGGAGCAAACAGG
rnacentral:rRNA from 1 species